rnacentral:rRNA from 1 species
GACGAACGCUGGCGGCGUGCUUAACACAUGCAAGUCGAACGGAAAGGCCCCUUUGGGGGUACUCGAGUGGCGAACGGGUGAGUAACACGUGAGUAACCUGCCCUUGACUUCGGGAUAACUUCAGGAAACUGGGGCUAAUACCGGAUAGGAAUCCUUGCUGCAUGGUGGGGGUUGGAAAGCUUCGGCGGUUUUGGAUGGACUCGCGGCUUAUCAGCUUGUUGGUGGGGUAGUGGCUUACCAAGGCGUUGACGGGUAGACGGCCGGAGAGGGCGACCGGCCACAUUGGGACUGAGAUACGGCCCAGACUCCUACGGGAGGCAGCAGUGGGGAAUAUUGCACAAUGGGCGGAAGCCUGAUGCAGCAACGCCGCGUGCGGGAUGACGGCCUUCGGGUUGUAAACCGCUUUCAGCAGGGGCGAAGCUUGUGGUGACGGUACCUGCAGAAGAAGCACCGGCUAACUACGUG